CACAAAAACAAACCGUCGAAGGAUAAGAUUCUCCUCGCCUCUACCUCUUCGUCUUCUCCGAUCGAAGAGCAAAGAAGCCGAGCACUUCUUAAUGAUUUCGUUUCAGCAUCAAAGCAAGCACCAGAGAUCCUUCCAUGCUCUCUAAGAUCUUAACCAGUUCGUUCUCGAUGUUGUCUUAUGAAACAAACGUCUUUCUCUCUGUCUCCCCCUCGAUUCAAUUCGCCUUGGUAAUUUAAUUGAUCUCAAUUCAUCUCGCUUACUCCUUAUCAGUUCAGAUUUUUCAACUUCCCCCAUCAAUCGAAGCCACUGUAUAUAUGGCGUCAAGGCUGGUUGUUGCAAGGAGACCGUUUUGGUAAGUCUUCUUCUUUUUUGGAGGCUACGAAUGUGAAGAAGCCGGAGAGCUUAUAGGUGUCGACAUGGUUUUCCUUGAUGAGAAGGUUACUCUCAUUCAACUCCUCUAUUUGAAUUUGUUUAUCAAUUACGAUUAAGCAAUGAAAACUAUCAGACUGGCGGCUUAGUUUUUUUUUUCAGUCGACUUUGGUCCACGGAUUUAUUGGGGCUCAGAGACUCAACUCUUUCUAGACCCAACUGAAUAAAUCAGUAUUUGCUACAUAUAUUUUUGGUGAAGCAUGUGACAUCAAGAGAACCUGCAACGACGACAAUCAGGCUAUCCAACGUGUAUCCAAGUAGACGGUAAUCUGCAACAGGAGAUGGUCUGAGCCGCAUUGUUCCUAUCUAUGAAGGUUAUGCCCUUCCACAUGCUAUCAUGUGUCUUGAUUUUGAGGGUCUUGACGUCACUCAUGCGUUGAUGAAGAUCUUAACCGAGCGUGGUUAUUAUUUCACCACCACAUCAAAGCGUGAAAUUGUCUCAGACGUAAAAAUAAGCUUUGCGACAUCGGUCUUGACUACAAGCAAGAGCUUGAGAAAGCCAAAAGUAGCUCAGGUGUUGAGAAGAACUACGAGCUACCUGAUGGGCAAGUGGUCACCAUUGGUUCUGAGCGGUUCGUUGUCUACCACUACCACUAGAGCUGUAAUAGCUGAAGUGGUCCUGGGAAGCGGCAAGACCAGACGGAGACACCGAGGCGGGAAUGACAACCCGAGCACCACCUCGCCGCCUGUGACCUUUGAGAACCAAAGGUCAAUACCAACCUUUGAAGGCCACGCUCCGGUGUCAGUGGAGAGAGGCCGAUAAAACUGAGCGCUUGAGACCAAACCAAGGAAAAAGCGAACGCCUAAGCAAGGAGAGCUAGCAAAGAAGCCGAAGGGAAGGAUCCGAAGCUCUGGAACCAGAGGCUAGCUUCAAUAGAGUUUUGAGAUCUAGAGCGAAGAGUGAGAAUCUGUUUUGUUUGUCUUUUUGACAUGGGGGAGUGGAAAAGGCUUGACCUCCAGCCCUACAAAAUAUGAGGGUGUUAAGAAGAUUGAUCAAAUGGUAGCAGAGCUUAAUGACUUCGUCCUGAAAUCUCCUACUCAGGUACGCCGUUAAUCAAAUAUAAUUGAUCUCCGGAAAUUGCAGGGUGGGUUUACAUCAUUCACAUGGGCUUCCUGCAAUGAGGUGAACGCUGCCGCAGGUGUACAAGACCCACAUGAUUGUGACCUUCCACAAUGCUUAUAGAAGAUUGUUGGGAGCACUUUAACCUUCCAAUUGAACCUACCUAACUUCAACUUCACUGCAAAACAUCAGAGCUUCACCGUCUCUUGCAUUCUUGACAACAACCAGCGCCCUCCCCAACAUAAUUUUGAGGUUCAUGUGGAAGAGGUGAGGCAUCAGAUCGACGUGACAACUCUGUUGACGGAAGCAGCACAGGAGAGGGGGCACCUGAGGAGGAAGAUUAGGGUUCUGCAGAGAAGACACGAAAUGAGUAAAAACGUUAAGAGAUCAAAGGGUGUUUAAGUUGCAAGACAUGAUGGCUUUUUCUAUGCAUUAGUUUUUAAAUAAGAUUUCCAGACACUUACGUCUGAGUAUUACAAAGUUUCUGCUUUUAUUAUUUCCAGUUUUUUUAUUGUAACUUAUUUUCAGUUUUUUUGUUUAGAACAUUUUAGUCAUAUUAGUAUUUUUUU